UUGUGUACAGACCUCCAGACUACACUCUGAGGCCAUUCCUGAAAAACCUGGUAAGCCUAUUAGACUCAUUAGAGAUCAUGGACUGUCAUCCCAUCAUAGUGUGUGGUGAUUUUAAUGAGAAUGUUUUAUCCAGUGCAAACAAACCAAUCCUGGAGCUGUUUGAGUCUAGGGGAUAUGCACAGGUCAUCACUACCCCUACCACAGAGAAGAACACACUGCUUGACCUAAUUUUCAUUUCUCAGCCAGAGCGAUGUCUCCAUUCUGGAGUCAUGAAGACCUACUAUAGUUACCAUGACCCUGUAUACUGUGUAUUGUCCUGUGAUGAUUCAUGAUCUAGAUCUUUGACUACAAGCUGAGACACUCAGGACUGAACAGACUGCACAGUUUCUGUGACCGAGCCUCCAAAACAUCUUCUUUGAAACCACACAUGAUAGAAGGGCUUUAUAUUUGCAGCAGCACUACUAAAGUUGGCAGGAAUGUUGCUGCAGGAAAACAUCCCUG